AAUGAUUUGUGCAACUUGUAACU
rnacentral:piRNA from 1 species